GCUGCGCUGUGGCCUGGGGGAUGCGCUCGGCCAGCGAGGCCGGCGGCCGGUUCUGCUGGAUCGACUCCAGCAGUGCAGCA
rnacentral:tRNA from 1 species